rnacentral:rRNA from 1 species
UGGGGAAUAUUGGACAAUGGGCGAAAGCCUGAUCCAGCCAUGCCGCGUGUGUGAAGAAGGUCUUCGGAUUGUAAAGCACUUUAAGUUGGGAGGAAGGGCAGUAAGCGAAUACCUUGCUGUUUUGACGUUACCGACAGAAUAAGCACCGGCUAACUCUGUGCCAGCAGCCGCGGUAAUACAGAGGGUGCAAGCGUUAAUCGGAAUUACUGGGCGUAAAGCGCGCGUAGGUGGUUCGUUAAGUUGAAUGUGAAAGCCCCGGGCUCAACCUGGGAACUGCAUCCAAAACUGGCGAGCUAGAGUAGGGCAGAGGGUGGUGGAAUUUCCUGUGUCGCGGUGAAAUGCGUAGAUAUAGGAAGGAACACCAGUGGCGAAGGCGACCACCUGGGCUCAUACUGACACUGAGGUGCGAAAGCGUGGGGAGCAAACAGG